AUUGGAGUGCUCAAAGCAAGCGAGAGCCGCUUGUACACCUCAGCAUGGAAUAAUGGAAUACGACCUCGUGUCUAUUUUGUUGGUUUCCGGAGUACGAGGUAAUGAUUAAUUGGGACUGCCGGGGGCAUUCGUAUUGCAGCGCGAGAGGUGAAAUUCUUGGACCGUUGCAAGACGUCCCAGAGCGAAAGCAUUUGCCAAGAAUGUUUUCAUUAAUCAAGAACGAAAGUUAGAGGUUCGAAGGCGAUCAGAUACCGCCCUAGUUCUAACCAUAAACGAUGCCAACCAGCGAUCAGCGAGCGUUCCUCCAAUGACGCUGCUGGCAACUUCCGGGAAACCAAAGUAUUUGGGUUCCAGGGGAAGUAUGGUUGCAAAGCUGAAACUUAAAGGAAUUGACGGAAGGGCACCACCAGGAGUGGAGCCUGCGGCUUAAUUUGACUCAACACGGGAAACCUCACCCGGCCCGGACACUGGAAGGAUUGACAGAUUGAGAGCUCUUUCUUGAUUUAGUGGAUGGUGGUGCAUGGCCGUUCUUAGUUGGUGGAGCGAUUUGUCUGGUUCAUUC
rnacentral:rRNA from 1 species